rnacentral:rRNA from 1 species
UUUAACUGAAGAGUUUGAUCAUGGCUCAGAUUGAACGCUGGCGGCAGGCUUAACACAUGCAAGUCGAGCGGGGGAAGGUAGCUUGCUACUGGACCUAGCGGCGGACGGGUGAGUAAUGCUUAGGAAUCUGCCUAUUAGUGGGGGACAACAUCUCGAAAGGGAUGCUAAUACCGCAUACGUCCUACGGGAGAAAGCAGG